rnacentral:rRNA from 1 species
GACGAACGCUGGCGGCGUGCUUAACACAUGCAAGUCGAACGGAAAGGCCUGCUUUCCCUUGUGGAUUGCGGGUACUCGAGUGGCGAACGGGUGAGUAACACGUGAGUGAUCUGCCCCCAACUUGGGUAUAAGCCUGGGAAACUGGGUCUAAUUCCCGAUAGGACUGCAGGGUGGUGCCUGUGGUGGAAAACGCUUUUCUAGUGGUUGGGGAUGAGCUCGCGGCCCAUCAGCUUGUUGGUGGGGUAAUGGCCUACCAGGGCGGCGACGGGUAGCCGGCCUGGGAGGGUGGACGGCGACAUUGGGACUGGGAUACGGCCCAGAGUCCUACGGGAGGCAGCAGUGGGGAAUAAUGCACAAUGGGCGGAAGCCUGAUGCAGCGACGCCGCGUGGGGGAUGACGGCCUUCGGGUUGUAAACUCCUUUCGACCGCGAGGAAGCCACCUGGUUGGAAGGGUGGUGACGGUAGUGGUAGAAGAAGCACCGGCUAACUACGUG